GACAGAGGGUGCAAACGUUGCUCGGAAUUACUGGGCGUAAAGCGUGCGCAGGCGGUUUCUUAAGUCAGAUGUGAAAGCCCCGGGCUUAACCUGGGAACUGCGUUUGAAACUGGGAGACUUGAGUGUGGCAGAGGGGGGUGGAAUUCCACGUGUAGCAGUGAAAUGCGUAGAUAUGUGGAGGAACACCGAUGGCGAAGGCAGCCCCCUGGGUUAACACUGACGCUCAUGCACGAAAGCGUGGGGAGCAAACAGG
rnacentral:rRNA from 1 species